AUGAACCUAAACUUAAAACAUGUUUCAACUUCAACGCUUGCAUCUGAAUGCGACAAUUUUCUCCUUUACAAUUCCAAACCAUAACAUUCCACUCUUCCCUUGAAACCUCUCACACUCAUCUUCUUCAGUAUAAAUUAGGAGCUCAAGACAUUUGGUGAACAAAUCUAUGUCGGAGAAGUUUUCGGUUCUUUUGAUAAGGAGGAAAAAUAAGGGCGCAAACAGAAGAUUGAAGGACUCGGGUCAGGCUUUGAGCGUGAUGGAGGGUGGUUUUGGGUUUAUGGGAAAGUGACAAGUGGCAAAUGCUGAGUGGUUGGGGAGCUAAAUUCAGUUACAACAAUAGAGCACGAAGAAUAAAAGGCAGCGGAAAGGAUAUGUGGAGGAGCGAAUUUUGUAGAGGGAAGGGAUUUGGGGAGAUGCUGGCUCUCGAAGUCCAGUGGGUUCUUAUUGUUGGCAGACUCAUCCUGGAUGAGCUGUUUUUCUAAUUUAAUUGAUUAUUGUUUUAUUUGAGUUGUAAAGAAUUGUUAUCUUAAUAGAAUUUACUUUGA